GACGAACGCUGGCGGCGUGCUUAACACAUGCAAGUCGAACGGAAAGGCCCUGCUUUUGUGGGGUGCUCGAGUGGCGAACGGGUGAGUAACACGUGAGUAACCUGCCCUUGACUUUGGGAUAACUUCAGGAAACUGGGGCUAAUACCGGAUAGGAGCUCCUGCUGCAUGGUGGGGGUUGGAAAGUUUCGGCGGUUGGGGAUGGACUCGCGGCUUAUCAGCUUGUUGGUGGGGUAGUGGCUUACCAAGGCUUUGACGGGUAGCCGGCCUGAGAGGGUGACCGGCAACAUUGGGACUGAGAUACGGCCCAGACUCCUACGGGAGGCAGCAGUGGGGAAUAUUGCACAAUGGGCGGAAGCCUGAUGCAGCAACGCCGCGUGCGGGAUGACGGCCUUCGGGUUGUAAACCGCUUUCGCCUGUGACGAAGAGUGAGUGACGGUAAUGGGUAAAGAAGCACCGGCUAACUACGUG
rnacentral:rRNA from 1 species